rnacentral:tRNA from 1 species
GCACCAUUAGCUCAGCUGGCAGAGCAACUGACUCUUAAUCAGUGGGUCCUGGGUUCGAGUCCCCGAUGGUGCACCA